rnacentral:rRNA from 1 species
UACGGCGAGUGAAGCGGCAAGAGCUCAAAUUUGAAAUCUGGCCCCUCCGGGGUCCGAGUUGUAAUUUGCAGAGGAUGCUUCGGGUGCGGUCCCCAUCUAAGUGCCCUGGAACGGGCCGUCAUAGAGGGUGAGAAUCCCGUCUGGGAUGGGUGGCCGUGCCCGUGUGAAGCUCCUUCGACGAGUCGAGUUGUUUGGGAAUGCAGCUCUAAAUGGGUGGUAAAUUUCAUCUAAAGCUAAAUAUUGGCCGGAGACCGAUAGCGCACAAGUAGAGUGAUCGAAAGAUGAAAAGCACUUUGAAAAGAGAGUUAAACAGCACGUGAAAUUGUUGAAAGGGAAGCGCUUGCGACCAGACUCGCCCGCGGGGGUUCAGCCGGUACUCGUACCGGUGUAUUCCCCCGUGGGCGGGCCAGCGUCGGUUUGGGCGGCCGGUCAAAGGCCCCCGGAAUGUGUCGCCUCUCGGGGCGUCUUAUAGCCGGGGGUGCAAUGCGGCCAGCCUGGACCGAGGAACGCGCUUCGGCACGGACGCUGGCGUAAUGGUCGUAAGCGGCCCGUCUUGAAA